CUGUUUGCCUGUCUGGGGUCACUCCAUGUGGGCACUGUAGCUUUUGUCUGCUUCUGGACAAUUGG
ensembl:misc_RNA Gm55781 predicted gene, 27435